rnacentral:rRNA from 1 species
AACGAACGCUGGCGGCAUGCCUAACACAUGCAAGUCGAACGAGAUCUUCGGGUCUAGUGGCGCACGGGUGCGUAACGCGUGGGAAUCUGCCCUUUGGUUCGGAAUAACAGUUGGAAACGACUGCUAAUACCGGAUGAUGACGAAAGUCCAAAGAUUUAUCGCCAGAGGAUGAGCCCGCGUAGGACUAGCUAGUUGGUGUGGUAAAGGCGCACCAAGGCGACAAUCCUUAGCUGGUCUGAGAGGAUGAUCAGCCACACUGGGACUGAGACACGGCCAAGACUCCUACGGGAUGCAGCAGUGUGGUAUAUUGGACAAUGGGCGAAACCCUUAUCCAGCAAUGCCGCGUGAGUGAGGAAGGCCUUAGUGUUGUAAAGCUCUUUUCCCCGGGAUGAUAAUGACAGUACCGUGGGAAUAAGCUCCGGCUAACUCCGUGCCAGCAGCCGCCGUAA